GAGUAGUAAAUGGUUUGGACAGGAAACUUAAAGAAUUUGGCGGUAUACAUUCUACUUAGAGGAAUAUGUUUUUUAAUUGAUAAUCCACAUGUAUUUUACUUAAAUUAAUUUAUUUUGUAUAUCUCCGUCUUAAAAGAAUUUUUUAAAAUAUUUUUUAGUUUUUAUAAUUUAAAAUAAGUCAGGUCAAGGUGCAGAUUAUAUUUAAGUUAAAAUGUAUUACAAUAAAUUUAUUUUUAGAUUAAAAUUAAAAUGAUUUUAUGAAAUUGGAUUUAUAAGUAAUUUUUUUUAUAUAAUAAUUAAUUGAAUUUUGUUAAUGUGUAUGUACACAUC
rnacentral:rRNA from 1 species